AAGGAGCUGUCUGGAAAGAAUGUGCGGACAUAAAUCUCCGCAGCGUGAGAUAAAGCAUCAGACGCGGUUUAGUGUUUUGUAGGAAGAGAAUUUCCUUGCGGUUUCUCGCAAGAGGUGUCAGGGGCAUCGCUUGAUGGGCAGCGUGGCUGUAGGAGCUCGGCUUUGUUUUCUGCCCUGCCGACGUAAAUGAUGCGACCCAAUCCGUAGUCAGCUGUGGUUGGUGUGCGCCGGGUGUCCCCUGGGCGUGAGGAGUGGUCCUUGAACUGCCAGCUCUGGGCUGGGCUUCCCGAGCGUGUGCCUUUGUUUGGUUUGGUUUCUUCAGGUGGUUAAAAAAGGGGGAACCGCUGUUCCUUUUCGGUGCUCCCAGCACAGUAUUUCAAGUUCCUCUUUGGCGAGAGAAUUCAGCAGAGUGGGUUUUGCUGGAGUUGCGAUAGAUUGGGUUAUUUGCAGAAGGGAUUCCUCAGAGGCCUUGUCUCCACUAAGCAAUUACAUUAUUGUUUUUACCCAGCAGUACAGCUCCUGUGCAAGCGCCGGCAGCUCUGGUUUUACAGUGAAGGAAGAAAAAGCCGUGAUCCUUUAUACCAAAGGAAAGAAAUUGCACUGAGUGGCUUUUUCUGCAUAUCCAGAUAACUUUGGGUAUUCUGGCAAUGCCCACAAAGGUGAAGGAGCAGAAUAAAAUUGGUGAUGCGACAGUCAGCAGCCCAGGUGGAGAGCUGUGUACUCUCUUGGCAAAGGAUGUUUGCAGAGCAGUGCAUGGAAGUGGAUGCUUGGCUGUGUCCUGGUAUUGGUGGCACAGGAUGAACUACAUUGGGUGCAUUACUUCAGGAUUAGGAAGGAGACUUUUAGGUAUAGGCUGUGCAUAGAUAGCCAUUUUGCUAUUACUCGCUACACAGGUAGAAUUGUUUUUCCCAAGGAAAAGAGGUGGUUGCACUGGGAAAACUGGCUGCUUGGAGUAGUACAAUUAGCAGCACUGGCGUGCCUGGGUUUUCAAAUGCUGAGAAGCACCAGAAAUAAACUUAUCACUGUGCUGUACCCAUGUGAUGUGUAUAAUCAGCUGUGAAUUAUUUAUUUCUAUUUUAACUGCAGCUAGUCAGCAUUUCUGGACCAUAGCGAGACUCUGGUCUGGAUCCACACAAAUCCCUCAGACUGAGCACACUGAGCACACUGAUGGCAUUUCAGUGUCAGUUCCCAGAUAUUGCACAGCACUACAGAAUAUUUCAGUAGUGGCAGGAGCACUGGAAAUGCUACUUAAUGAUCAAAUGGUAGGAGCAACCCCUCUGCUGAUAAAUGCUUUUCUGUUCUGGACAGUGUGGAAACAGUGUUAAAAGAAACCAGGCCCACUUAUCCUGCCAGACAGGUUGUUGCCAUCCACAGUGGAACUGCAGCAGCUUUAAUGCAAUAUCAGGGUUUAAGAAAAAUCAUAACGUAGCCAUGAAAUGAGCUGUGUGAGAGAACCAGCAGGAUGCUAUGUGUAUGGAGAGUGAACUGCUGGCAACAGAGUGUAAGCCCUGGCCUUCUUGGAAAAAAUUAGUGUGCAGAGAACUGCAUAACAGUACCGUGUGCCAGCUAGUUUAUUGUGAGAAUGUGUGCUGCUUCACUUUCAAUCUCUAUUCUUUUCACAGGGGUAUUGGAAAAGGAAGUAGAACAGCUGCUGUAAAGCCAUGCAAGAGAUGUGAUGCUUGUGAACAGUUGUGAAAAAAAAAAUUAGAUUUAUGAAUGGAAAGCAUUAUACAAAUAAAAUGUAAACAGUU